CAAUAGCGUAUAUUAAAGUUGUUGCGGUAAAAAAGCUCGUAGUUGGAUUUCUACCGAAGAUAGCCGGUCGGGUCUUCGACCUUGUAUCUGGUUUUGUCUUUGGUAUCCUCAUAGGGAACGUUUCUGCGCUUUAUUGCGUGGUGCGGUAUCUAUGACUUUUACUUUGAGGAAAUUAGAGUGUUCACGGCAGGCAAACGCCUUGAAUAUAUUAGCAUGGAAUAAUAACAUAGGAUCUUCGUCCUAUUUUGUUGGUUUCUAGGGCUAAGAUAAUGAUUAAUAGGGAUAAUUGGGGGCAUCUGUAUCAACGCGUCAGAGGUGGAAUUCUUGGAUUGCGUUGCGACAAACUGCUGCGAAAGCAUUUGCCAAGGAUGUUUUCAUUGA
rnacentral:rRNA from 1 species